rnacentral:rRNA from 1 species
GACGAACGCUGGCGGCGUGCUUAACACAUGCAAGUCGAACGGAAAGGCCUCGUUCGGGGGGUACUCGAGUGGCGAACGGGUGAGUAACACGUGAGUAACCUGCCCUUUACUUUGGGGUAACUUCAGGAAACUGGGGCUAAUACCGGAUAGGAGCUCCUGCUGCAUGGUGGGGGGUGGAGAGUUUCGGCGGUUGGGGAUGGGGUCGCGGCGUAUCACCUUGUUGGUGGGGGAGUGGCUUACCAAGGCUUUUACGGGUAGCCGGCCUGAGAGGGGGACCGGCCAAAUUGGGACUGAGAUACGGCCCAGACUCCUAAGGGAGGCAGCAGUGGGGAAUAUUGCACAAUGGGUGGAAGCCUGAUGCAGCAAAGCCGUGUGGGGGAUGACGGACUUCGGGUUGUAAACCGCUUUCGCUCAUGACGAAGCUUUGUGUGACGGUAGUGGGUAAAGAAGCACCGGCUAACUACGUG